CUGAGUUGUUAAAACUCCAAACCAUUGUGAAUUUACCUGUAGUUUGCUUUGGCAAGCGAUCCCGGGGGGAUCAGUUGCUCAGCCUUGCGGUUGGGUGCUUGCCGAAGAGCUGCUAAACUCUUGUUAUUUUUGUUGUCUGAGCACUAUAUCCAUCCGCAAGGAUAGGAGAAAAUGAAUCA
rnacentral:misc_RNA from 1 species